GAGAGAGAGAGAGAAAUGGGAGGGAGGGAGGAAACUGGGGAAUAAUAAAAUAAGGAUAAUUGCUAUAAUACAAUAUUUGUGUUGGAAGUCAGAGGAGACAAUGUUUUUGUAAGUGGAGACCAGAAUACAGACAUCUUAAAUGCCAGACUUAGGAGUUUGGACUUCAUUAUUAGAUAAGAAAGUGGAGAAUCAUUGACUGGUAUCGAGAAGGGAAAUGAUAUUCUGAUAGUGGCUCUUUAGGAUAUCUAACAUAGUAGUAAUGUGUAGGAUUGACUGAGGUUGGAUGCAGGACAGUUAGGAGAGCAUAUCACAUAGUCUAGUUGUGCAAUAGUAAGACCCAAACCAAGAUGGUCACUGUGGGAAGGGAUAGGAAAGAAUGGAGGUGUGAGAUAUUAUAAAGGAUUAUAGAGUUGCCAGCAAUGUCAGAGAAGAUUUUAAUGAAUACUUUUUUCCCUCAUCUCAUCUUUCUUUCUAUAUGUUCUCUUGUGAGGACAGACUAUAGAUGAUGAGUCAUCAAAGGAGACUGAGACGGAGCAGUGAGAUAGAUAGGAAGAGAUCAAUAAAAUUUUAUUUUCAAAAAAAGUUAUCUUCUGGCCUUUACCAACAUUGUUCCUUUUUGUUUUUUACUCAUCUGCUUUUUCUAUCAAUCUAUAAAUAAUUACUGUGCUUAUUAUAUGCAAGGCACUGUGCUAACUAUGGAGGAAACAAAGAAAAAGCAGAAAUGAUGAUUCUGACAAUGGGUGUGUGGCCUUUAGGUCUCUAAGGUGGAGAAAAUGCCAUGUCCUGGGGAUCCAGGAGAGGAUUACCAAGUGUAUGUAGGUUGCAUUGAAUUCUGGAGAGUCCUGGCUAUUAUUAGGGCAUAAAAGCUUUUCAAAAGAGGUUUUUAUGGAUGGUAAAAACUGUCUUGGGUUAAGUGAGUGGCAGAGAGAACCACACAUGAAAGCCAUAUACUAGUUAUGUCUAUUUAGGUAGUAAAUCUUAGGUUUUCAGUUAGAAGUUGAAUCUAUUAUGGAAUUUCAAGUUCACUUUUCCCCUGAUCAUGGCAUACUUCCCAAUGGAGACUGCACCCUGUUUUUUUUUAUCCCAUUGUCUCGUUUAUUGCUUUAAUCUCUUUUGUUUACUCAAUGAAUCUCAUUUAUCUUUGCACCUUAUAAUUUCCUCUCUCAGAGGCCCUUGUGUAGAAGAUGUUCCCCACUGUUGAUAUUUUUUAAAAGAGGCAUUAAUUACAGUUUCUUUCUUCCCCCUCUCCAAACAGACACAUCCAGAAUGAAGUGAGAACUUUUUUUUCCUCCAAGAAGAGCCUGAAGACCUAAUUAACUACAAAAUGAGCCAAGAUUGCAUUUUAUUUAUUUUUAUUUUUCAGAUUGUCUCAGUUUAAAAUAUUUGGCUGUCUAGUAAAUGGAGUGGGUAAAACUAAAUGUGGCACAUCUGAUCAUUAGUGUUGGUGGGGUGGAGUGUGGGGGCCCUCCUGCCAUGGCAGUUCUUAAAGAAUGAGGCAGAAAAGCCAUGUAACUACCACCCAUUGGCCUUGGUCUGUCGUCUACCCUUGAGAAGCUGAGAAAAAGAUACUAUAGAGGAUGAAUAUCAUUGAAUAUCCGCAGAGGAUUUGUUUAAGGGCUAAAUGUUUAAAGUCCCUAAGCUAACAUAUAAGUCCCUAAGUUAAUAUUUUAAGUAUUAUCUGAGAUCUAAGAAUUGAUUAAGUAGACAUUAUGAAUAUGUGCCUAUGUGUAUCUCUAUGCUAUGUGGGUGGAUGGGAUAAUGUUAUUAGACAUGUUAUAUUUGACAUAUAAAAGAUAAGCAUAAUCUAAAACUUGAAAUGUAACCAAGGAGAGUCAAUUUAACAUGAUUAAAUAGAAAUUAAGUCUCAAAUGUGUGCCAAACACUAUUAGCUAGAGAUCUAAAAAUGAAAAAGACUGUAGUCUAUGCCCUGAAGGAGCUUAAAAUCUAAUGGAGAGAGGAGGGAAUAUCUAUAAAUAAGUAUGACAAAAGUGAAGACAUGAGAAGGAAAGAGACAAAAAACACUCUUAAGAAAGUUGGAAAUGGGAGUGAAAACUUUCAAGUCAGGGGAAGAAGUGAAAUGUAAGCUAAGACUGAAGAAGCAAAAGAUUUCAACAGAAGAUAAGAAAGAAGUGAUUUCAAGAUCUGGAGUAUUACCAGCAUGAUACGCAAAGAAUGAGAAGUCCUCAACAUCAAAUGGAGCAUCAGAAAGGCCAAGUGAAGUAGUUGGCCCUUUUAAGGAGAAAGUCUAUUCUGUAGAGAAUAAAGAAAAGGAAAAGAGAAUGGAGGAUGAUUUAGAGGAUUUAAAACAGGUGAAAACACAGCCCAUACUUGGAUAUGAAAGAUGAAAGAAACCUAGGGAUCCAAAGUGUGUUGAUCUUUAUUUUUCCUCCAUCCUGGAUCACUGGAUUAGAGAGUAAGGUAAAAGAAAUCUGGACAUUAACAAUUAAGCAUUAGUACAAGAAUUCCUAGGUUUGUACCCUACCUUAGACACUAGCUUGAUGAUCAUUGACAAUCACUUAGACUUAAAGUCCAGUCAUUUACAGCUUAAUGGAAGAUGGGGUGGAAAUCUCUAAAGGAAGGACACAAAUUUCUGUGGAUGGCUGGAUAUUGUUGUUGUUUUUAAUAUAUUUAUUAAUAACUUGGUCCAAGUCAUACAUGGCAAGGUAUACAGCUGACAGAGCAUGACUAUAGAAAGGAUAGCCGAUUGUGUCAGAUGGAAAUGGAAGAAUCAAUUUUCAAAAGAGACUCUGAUAGACCAGAACAUGGAUCAGAACUCAAGAUAAAACUUAAUAGGGAUAAAUGUCACGUCUUACAUAAAAAAAUUUUUAAUCAGCUUCACGAGAGGUCUACAAAAAUUAAAUGCAUUUCUUCAACUCUGAGCUCUAGUCACAGGGUAUAUUUAAACAGAUGUCGAAGGACUAACAGUUACUUAUUAGGCUUAUCAUGAGGGAUUUAUGUUAGUUUAAUUAGAUAGGCUCUGAGGUUCCUUCCAGAUCUAAGAUAUUGUGAUUCUAUGACAUACUUUCCAAGAGUUCAAACUUGGAUCUGAGAUAGUCCAUGUUCAAACUGCACCCCGUGCACUGUCCUUUUUUUUACUCUUGGUUUCCUUUGUUUAUGAAACAAAGCAAGGUGUUUUGGCUCAAGGUCAUACUAUGAAUUUGUCAGAAGAUUAGAACUAGAACUCCUCUCUCCUGACUCUCAGUUCACUGAUCUUGCAAUCUGGCUUCCCAGUUAUAUUAUUCAUCCCUUAGGAGCAAAGGCCAUAUAUUAUUCAUCAUUUAUCCCUCCCAUUUCUCUUCCAGUGCCUUGCACACUAGGCAUCCAACAAAUGUCUUUUCAAUCUUUUCCUUAAGCUAUUUAACUUUUCCAUGACUUUUUCUUCUGUUAAAUAUUUUUUCCUCCUGUCUAUCCCCUUCCUUGUUCUUUACACUUAUCCCUUAUCUACAUGAUCCACAGACACUACACACUCAAUCUAAGUUACAAAGUGCACAUCUUGUAUUUUGCAAGGUUGCCAGCAAUAAUCAACUUGUCUGCCCCUCAAUGGAAAAAAAGCUUUUUAUUCUCUAUUAUUUUCAUUUUCUUUAAAUAUUCUGGAUCCUGCUAGAGAAACCAGUUACUAGAUUGGCCUAGAGAGGAAUUACUGAUGAUUCAGAGUGUGUGGAUAGACAGAGGAUGUCUGUACAAGCCAUGAUGUGAGCUUCAGGUGAGGGCCACUGCCAGGCAAGGGUCUAUUAUAUAAGUUAUCAGUCUAUAAAAAAAUAGGUGUCUGCUGCUUCCUUAUUUAGAACUUAAAUGUCACUUCCUUAUAAAGAACAAUCUGCCCCAUCAAUCACUCACUUCCAGGAACAUAAAUGUCUUUGUUUUGACAGGAGGAGAAGGAUUGAGAACACAAUAGUGAGAUUAGUGCAAUUCCAUCUUGUCAAUCAUAUCUUUUACUCAAUAGACUUUCAGGAUUAGGCAGUUUCUCUGACAAUCUCUGGUUUCUGCUUACAAGGAAAAGGACUGCUCUCCCACGGUAGCUUAGUGCAUCCAGGAUUUGUAGUGUAAUCAUGUCAUCUACUUUAUUUGUUAUGUCCAUUCAGUCUGAAACAAUAAAAAAAUGUCCUUCUGUAAAUAAGGAUUUGCUAACAUUUCUUUUAUGAUUCUCGCCCACUUAAUAAACCUUGUGGGUAUACUCUACCCUUAAAUAUUUUUACAAGUUGUUGUUCAGUCCUAUUCAACUCUUUGUGACCUUAUUUGUGAUUUUCUUGGCAAAGAUAUUGGAGUUGUUGGCCAUUUCCUUCUCCAGCUCAUUUUACAGAUGAGAAAACUGAGGCAAACUGAGUAAAAGUGACUUGGCUAGGUUCACAUAGCUAGUAAGUUUCUGAGAUCAAAUUUGAACUCUGGUCUUCCUUUCUCUAGGCCCUGCAUUCUAUCCACUGCAUCAUCUACAUUUUAAAAGUAGAAAUCAUGAUAGACUUUUGGGGGAUGACAAGAAUAUGCCAAGGACUCCAAGAUGGCAGUGUAGAGGCAGGGAAAGCACAAAAUACUAUGAGAAUCUCUCCAACCAACCUUAAAAUAACACUUCAAAAUGAAUACUGAAGUGGAAGAACCCAUACUGAGAUGGGGUUAAGCAACUUUCAUGCAGAAAACAAAUUAAAAGGUAGGCAGAGGGGAUCUGUUUCACUGGGAUAUGAGGGAGUGCAGUCAGCAGAGACCACAACAAGGAGUACUCUCAAACCAACAGUAAGACAUAUCUACUGUUCCAGGUUCUGAAUCUGAGCCCAAGCCAAUGUCUAGAUCCUGAGAUCCCUCCUGAACUAAAAGCAAUGCAACCCCAAGUACACCUCAUAAAGUUCCAAGGACCAGAAUCCCAGCCCAAAGCAGUCCACAAGAUAUACCUGAUCUGUGUUAAGUCCAGAAUAAAGCUGGGAGUUCCAGCCCAAACAUGGACUUUAGGAAGGCCUUGAACCCCAGCGCCAAGUAGUACAGACUACACCUGGUCUGUGUAAGCCCAGAGUGAGUCUCCAAGCUCCAGAGAAAGAUAGUCUAGAGUGCCUACCUAAGCCCUUACUCAAACUCAAGGUGAAGUUACAAGGCAAAGCAAUCUACAAUGUGGCUGACCUGAUCAAGCCUGGAGUGAGACUAAAAGCCUCUGCCCAAGCCUGAGGCCAGACUCUAAGCCCCAGCACAGGGUAGCUCAUGGGGCUCCCAACUCUGUAGGCCAUCAACAGUCUCAGGGGAUGAUUGAAUCAACAGUGAGAAGUGGAUUUUAGAGCUUCCAGUCUAAAGUCCAUCUUACUACUUUGGAAGAACUGAAACUUGCAGAAACCCAGAAUAGAGCUAAGGGUAGCAGCAUGGAAAACAUGAAAUUUAAUAGAGUGUCUCAUUUAUCCUGAGAACAAAGCCCAUCUUUAAGAUAAAAAAGCUGGAAAAAUGAGUAAACUGCAAAAAAAUCUAACUAAAGAAGAUUUUUAUGGAGACAAAGAUCAAGGCACAGAUAGAGAAGGGGACACUGAAAAUAAAGCAAACACAUACAAAACAUCAAAGAAGUAUAUGAAUUGGUCUCAGGCUUUGAAAAAGCUCAAAAAAGAUUUAAAAACCAAUUAAAAGAGGCAAAAUGGGGAAGAGAAAUAAAAAAUGAAAGAAGAAUAUAAUGACAGAAUUGACUAAAUGAAAAAAGAGAUUCAAAAAUUCAAAGAAGAAAAUCAUAUCUUAAAAAAUUAGAAUUAGUCUACCAAAAGCUAAUGAUAUCAAGAAACAAUAAAACAAAAUCAAAAGAAUGGGGAAAAAAAACAGAAUAAAACAUGAAAUAUCUCAUUGAAAAAAAAAUGACAUCGAAAACAGAUCCAGGAGAGACAAUUUAAGAAUUAUUAUAUUACCUGAAAGCCAAAUGAUAACUCCAAAGAAUAUUAUAGCCAAAUUCAAGAGCCUCCUGAUCAAAGAGAAAAUACUGUGAGCAACCAGAAAGAAGAAAUUCAAAUGUUAUGGAGCUGCAGUCAGGAUUACAGAGGACUUAAUAGCCUCGACCUGGAAGAUUUGGAAUAUAAUAUACUGGAAGUCAAAAGAGCUGGGUUUACAACACAAAAUCGUCUAUCUAGCAAAACUAAGUAUAUUCUUCCAAGGGAAAAAUGGUCAUUUCAAUAUAAGAUUUGCAAGCAUUUUUGUUGAUAAUACCAGACCUAAAUAGAAAAUUUGAUGUCCAAAUAUAAGACCUAAGGGAAAUCUAAAAAAGUAAAUAAGAAAGAGAAAAUUUAAGGAACUUAAUAAGGCCAAACUCUAUGUAUUCCAAAUGGAAAAAUGAUAUUUUUAAUUCUUAAAAAUUCUUACUGGUAGAGCAUUUAGAAGGAGUAUAUGUAGACAGAAAGUAUGAGUAAAUUGAUUAGGAUGAUAUGCAAAAGAAAAUCAAAAGGUGAAAAAAGCGAUUUCACUGAGAGAAAAGUAAAGGGAAAGGUGGAAUGGAGUAAAUUAUCUCUCCUAAAGAAGUGUGAUUAAAACUAAUACAGUGGAGGGGAGGUUGAGGGUGGUUAAUGGCAAUGCUUAAACCUUAUUCUCAUCAUAACUGACUGAAAGAGGGAAUAACAGCCAUAUUCAUUUGGGUAUAGAAUACUAUCUUACCCUUUAGGGUAUUAGGAGGGGAAUAAAACAAGAGGGGAGUAAUAGAAGGGAGGAAAAGUAGGGGAUGGUGAUUAAAAUCAAAGCACCUAUGAAGAGGUGCUUUUUAUGGUAGUAAAGAAUUGGAAAUUGAGGGAAUGUCUAUUAGUUGGAAAAUGGCUGCACAAAUUGUGGUACAUGAUAGUGAUGGAAUACUAUUGUGCUAUAAGAAAUGAUAAGCAAGAUGGUUUCAGAAGAAAAUGGAAAGAUCUCCAUGAAUAGAUGCAGAAUGAAAUAAGCAGAACCAGAAGAACUUUGUACACAGUUAGAGCAAUAUUGUGCAAUGACCAACUUUGAAAACUUGGCUAUUAUCAGCAGUACAAUGAUCUAGGUCAAUUCUGAAAGACUUAUGAUGGGGAAUACUAUCCAAUUCCAGAGAAAGAACUGCUGGAGUCAUAUGGGUAGGGAUCAGUGCAUACUAUCUUUCACAACAGUGUAUUUGCAGUUUUAUUUUAGAGUUUUAGUUUUGUGUGUGUGUUCUUACAAUGACCAAUUUGGAAGUGAAUGUUGCAUGAUAAUACAUGUAUGGCCCAAAUUGAUUACUGUCUCUGACAAGGAGGAGGGAAGAUAUGGAGGGGAGAAAGUUUGCAUCUCAUAAUUUUGGAAAAGGUCUGUUGAAAAUUAUUAUUUACAUGUUACUGGGAAAACAAAAUAUCUUUGAAUUUUAAAAAGAUUAAAAAGUAGCAAUCAUGAUAAUGGUCAAAUGAUAUUCCCAUUAACUUGGUCUCCAUGUUUAUAGCAGUGACUUUUAACCUUCACAGUAUCUUUUGGAUAAAUUUCAGAGCAUCCCUGAACUUGGAUGGGAAAGAAAAAUAUGUCUUUAUUUUCACUAGCCUGC